rnacentral:rRNA from 1 species
GACGAAGGGGCUAGCGUUGUUCGGAAUUACUGGGCGUAAAGCGCGUGUAGGCGGUUGUCCAAGUCGGGUGUGAAAGCCUUGAGCUCAACUCAAGAAAUGCACUCGAUACUGGGCGACUAGAGUGCCGGAGAGGAUAGUGGAAUUCCCAGUGUAGUGGUGAAAUACGUAGAGAUUGGGAAGAACACCAGUGGCGAAGGCGGCUAUCUGGACGGUUACUGACGCUAAGACGCGAAAGCGUGGGGAGCAAACAGG